rnacentral:rRNA from 1 species
AACGAACGCUGGCGGCGUGGAUAAGACAUGCAAGUCGAGCGCGAUACACCUUGUAGCAAUACAGGGUGUGUUGAGCGGCGCAAGGGUGCGUAACACGUGGGCAAUCUGCCGUGAAGUUGGGGAUAACUCGCUGAAAGGCGAGCUAAUACCGAAUGUGGAAACCGGAUGGCAUCAUCUGAUUUCUGAAGUUGGGGACCGUAAGGCCUGACGCUUCACGAUGAGCCCGCGGCCUAUCAGCUAGUUGGUGAGGUAACGGCUCACCAAGGCUAAGACGGGUAGCUGGUCUGAGAGGACGACCAGCCACACUGGAACUGAGACACGGUCCAGACACCUACGGGUGCAGCAGUCGAGAAUUUUUCACAAUGGGGGAAACCCUGAUGGAGCGACGCCGCGUGGGGGAUGAAGGGCUUCGGCUCGUAAACCCCUGUCAGCCGCGAACAAUGCUUACGACCUAAUACGUCGUGAGUUGA